CAAAAAAAAAUUCACAUUUUUUUUAGAUUUUUCCAUGAUUUUUUUUUUUUUUUCCGUCUCCCGAACGUUCCGGAGGGAGCCAAAAAAAAUCGGAUUUAAAUCCCUUUUUUUUUAUUAUUUUGGAUUUCAAAAAAAAAUCCUCUGCUCUCACCCCGGCUGGGAAUUUGAGGUGGCUCCAGGAGUUUCUCCCUGCCCGAAUUCCUGGAUUUUUUUUGGAUCCAAAAUUUGGAUCUGACAUGCAAUUAAAAAAUCAAAAUAAUUAGGAAAAAAACUCAUUUAAACACACUAAAAACGCUUUCACUCCCUCCCUGCUGACGUUCCAUGGGAGAAAUUCCCAUUUUUAUUUUGUUUUUCCCGCACACCCAACGGGAUUUUCCAGGAUUUUUUUGGGAUGGGGGGGAAAAGAAACCCCAAAAAUUGUUUUUUGGGGGAGGUUCAGUCCUGAUUCCCCCCUGGAUCCUGGAAAAAGGAGCGGCAAAAUUCCCAAAAAUCCCAGACUUGGAGCGAAAUCCUCAUUCCCAGAGAGUGGAAAAUCCUGGGAAUUCCAGGGUGGGGAUGAGCAGGGAAUCAAACACUUCUUGGAAGUGGCUCCCGAGGAGGGGAAAAUAAAAAUAAAUGAAGAAUUCACUUGGAAAUUCUGCAAAAAAAACCCAAAAAAUUGGGAAUUAAAAUCCCCCAGGCAGCGAUUUGGGAAUUUCCCAGCGGAAUUCUCCCAGUCCAGGUGGGAAAUUUUGUGUUCAGAUCUGCUGGGGCUGCCAGGAAAAUGAAAUAAAAUUUAAAAUAUUUGGGAAAAAGGGGGAAAAAAGGGAGGAGCAGGGAGGGAAAAUUGGGAAUUCUCGGUGGCAUGCAGGGUAUGGAAAGAUUUGGGAAUUAUUUUGGGUUUUAUCUGUUGAAUUUUUGGGAAAAAGGGGGAAAGAAGAGCACAGGUCGAGCCUGGAGCAGCCCAAGCCAUUCCAGAGCCUGUGGAGAAAUUCCCGGCUUUGUCGGAGCUGGAGGGAACAGCAGCAGCUUCCAAACAGCUCCAGGGAUUGGGAAAAGCUCCUGGAGUGGCCCCAAUCCCGAGGAAUUCCAUGUGGGGAGACACCAGAGAGCCUGGAGAGGCUCCAUCCCAAGGAAUUCCAGCUGGGAAAAGCUCCCAGAGAGGCUCCAGCCCAAGGAAUUCCAGCCAGGAAAAGCUCCCAGAGAGGCUCCAGCCCAAGGAAUUCCAGCCGGGAAAAGCUCCCAGAGAGGCUCCAGCCCAAGGAAUUCCAUGUGGGGAGACACUGGGGCUCC
rnacentral:lncRNA from 1 species